GAGUAAGGAAGAAGAACUAGAGAAGAAGGAAGAAGAAGAUAAAGUUGCACUAUUAAAAUAAAGUUACGCUCUUUUAGAAAAAAGGGCAAUUGCUUAUAUACCCCUGAAAAGUUUCUGACAUUCUGAUUUACCCCUCUUAAAGGCUAAUAUGGAAAAUACCCUUUUUACGUUCCAACCUAUUUCUAAUAUACCCCUAAAGUUAAAAUCUGUUAAUGAACUCUGUUAUCUCUAUGAAAUUACCAUUUUGCCCUUUCAAAUAUACUCUUCUACCAUCACCGACUUUUCUUAUUUGCCAUUAAGUUAGGGGCACAAAAAAUAUUUUACUUUUUGGUCUUUUCAAAUAUACCCUUCUAUCAUCACCAAUAUUUCUUAUUUGCCCCUAAGUUAAGGACAGAAGUAGUAUUUUAUUUUUUUUUUAACUGUGAUAGAUAUUUAACUCACGUUUAAUUCAAGUUAACGUAACAGGUGGUAACUGCAGGGAUAUUUUGGAAUAACGGGGGUAUAUAUGAGGGGUAUAUUGGUAAGAAAAAAAAAGUAGGGGUAAAUGAGAUAUUUUCGAAGUUUUGAGGGGUAUAUAGGCAAUUAUC
rnacentral:lncRNA from 1 species